UACCUUCAUAACAAAAACACACAACACACACUAUUCGAGAGCUUUUUAGGUUGUAAUGGGGCUAAGGUGCAAGGUGGGAAAACUACAAAACAAAAAGGGAAAAACUAGAGGUUCAGGCUCAAAGUCUGUGUUGCUACCCUCGUAAUUAAGUUCAAUCUUUCAAUCCAGAGGUUUUUCUUUUAGGCACCGUUCUUAUUAGGAUUCAUUGACUCUUAUUUUUCUCUUCUUUUUUAUGCGCUAUUUUGAGCACACUUUUUGCCAACCUCAAUACUUCUAGAUAAGUGUUUCAUUAUACUUCUCAUAAUUUUUUUCAUUUCUCU
rnacentral:lncRNA from 1 species